rnacentral:tRNA from 1 species
GGGCUCAUGGUUAAGUGGUAUAAUGUCUGGCUGGCAGUCAGAAGUCUCGAGUUCGAUUCUCGAUGAGUCCA